rnacentral:rRNA from 1 species
GUUAUAUGGUCAAGUGAAGAAGCGCAUACGGUGGAUGCCUUGGCAGUCAGAGGCGAUGAAAGACGUGGUAGCCUGCGAAAAGCUUCGGGGAGUCGGCAAACAGACUUUGAUCCGGAGAUGUCUGAAUGGGGGAACCCAGCCAUCAUAAGAUGGUUACCUUACACUGAAUACAUAGGUGUAUGGAGCGAACCAGGGGAACUGAAACAUCUAAGUACCCUGAGGAAAAGAAAUCAACCGAGAUUCCCUUAGUAGUGGCGAGCGAACGGGGACUAGCCCUUAAGUGGCUUUGAGAUUAGCGGAACGCUCUGGAAAGUGCGGCCAUAGUGGGUGAUAGCCCUGUACGCGAAAAUCUCUUAGUCAUGAAAUCGAGUAGGACGGAGCACGAGAAACUUUGUCUGAAUAUGGGGGGACCAUCCUCCAAGGCUAAAUACUACUGACUGACCGAUAGUGAACUAGUACCGUGAGGGAAAGGCGAAAAGAACCCCGGAGAGGGGAGUGAAAUAGAUCCUGAAACCGUAUGCGUACAAGCAGUGGGAGCCCACUUUGUUGGGUGACUGCGUACCUUUUGUAUAAUGGGUCAGCGACUUAUUUUCAGUGGCGAGCUUAACCGAAUAGGGGAGGCGUAGCGAAAGCGAGUCUUAAUAGGGCGUCUAGUCGCUGGGAAUAGACCCGAAACCGGGCGAUCUAUCCAUGGGCAGGUUGAAGGUUGGGUAACACUAACUGGAGGACCGAACCGACUACCGUUGAAAAGUUAGCGGAUGACCUGUGGAUCGGAGUGAAAGGCUAAUCAAGCUCGGAGAUAGCUGGUUCUCCUCGAAAGCUAUUUAGGUAGCGCCUCAUGUAUCACUGUAGGGGGUAGAGCACUGUUUCGGCUAGGGGGUCAUCCCGACUUACCAAACCGAUGCAAACUCCGAAUACCUACAAGUGCCGAGCAUGGGAGACACACGGCGGGUGCUAACGUCCGUCGUGAAAAGGGAAACAACCCAGACCGUCAGCUAAGGUCCCAAAGUUAUGGUUAAGUGGGAAACGAUGUGGGAAGGCUUAGACAGCUAGGAGGUUGGCUUAGAAGCAGCCACCCUUUAAAGAAAGCGUAAUAGCUCACUAGUCGAGUCGGCCUGCGCGGAAGAUGUAACGGGGCUCAAACCAUACACCGAAGCUACGGGUAUCACGUAAGUGAUGCGGUAGAGGAGCGUUCUGUAAGCCUGUGAAGGUGAGUUGAGAAGCUUGCUGGAGGUAUCAGAAGUGCGAAUGCUGACAUGAGUAACGACAAUGGGUGUGAAAAACACCCACGCCGAAAGACCAAGGUUUCCUGCGCAACGUUAAUCGACGCAGGGUUAGUCGGUCCCUAAGGCGAGGCUGAAAAGCGUAGUCGAUGGAAAACAGGUUAAUAUUCCUGUACUUCUGGUUAUUGCGAUGGAGGGACGGAGAAGGCUAGGCCAGCUUGGCGUUGGUUGUCCAAGUUUAAGGUGGUAGGCUGAGAUCUUAGGUAAAUCCGGGAUCUUAAGGCCGAGAGCUGAUGACGAGUUACCCUUUGGGUGACGAAGUGGUUGAUGCCAUGCUUCCAAGAAAAGCUUCUAAGCUUCAGGUAACCAGGAACCGUACCCCAAACCGACACAGGUGGUUGGGUAGAGAAUACCAAGGCGCUUGAGAGAACUCGGGUGAAGGAACUAGGCAAAAUG